GCGUCGUGCAGGAACCCUCACCCGCCCGAGCGGGGCCCUGGGCCUCCGGGUCACUCUCUGUGGCGGGGUCUGGCUGCGCGUCAGACGGCCUCCUCCAAUGCCCGCAGUUGCUGUCGCCCCCAGGCCUGGACCGGGGAGUGAGGGGUGGGCCUGACCGGCCCCUGAGCUCCCGUCAGCCCCCCACGCGAGCCCGUCCUGUGCUGGGGGCAGGGAGAUGGGCCGGUGGGAGAGGAGACCGCAUCCAGCCCUCCCUGGCCACCUGCAGGGUCCCCACCGUGGCGGCUGCUUUACUGCUAACUCCUCCCGGGGACCCCAAGUCCCCAUCGCUCUCGGGGGUCCCCCUCAUCCGAACCGCCUCGGAGGAGGGCCGCAUCUCACGCGGAGCACCCCUCCACGCCUGUGACCCUGGACUUGCUCUCCCGCCCCCGCCCGGGCCUCAGGGCUCAGGAGGCCGUGAUGAAGCCAGCAGGUGAACUGCACCCUGGAGCCUCCGACGGGGCGGCCACGGGCAGCGAAGAACCCGGAAAAACAGUACCCUUCUGAGGUUAAUCCGCGUUGAUAGAAGCAGGUGUGGUUCAUCUGGAAUCUGUUGGUGUGAACUGCGCGGCGGCGUCCCCCACCAGGCACCACAGGCCCGGCGGGUGGUGUGGGGGCCGCAUCUCAUGGAGGUCUCCGUCCACGUUGCCCCCAUUGUGACCGCAGCGGGCGCCUCUUGGUAGCAGCCACCGGCCUCUUCUGGGACUCGCCGGAGGGUUUCCACGUCGCCCGCUCCGACGGGGCUGUUCAUCUCCCCUUGAUCUGUGGGACUCCCCGUCCGUCUCAGAUCCCAUGGCUUGUCUCUGACACAAGACGCCAACGAAGAUCGGCAUUUCUGCAACCUCUGGCUUCCAGGAAGGCUGCCUCCCUCCCCAACUUCCUCUGAUCAUCGUGCGGCUGAGGAACAGAUGGGGAACCAGGUGCACAGAGAGGUAUGGCCACCUUCACGGGGUCACACAGGCUGAGAAAUGAUAUGGUGGGUGAUGCAGAUGAGGGUCCAGGGUGCCUGCCCUGGGGAGCAUGAUGAGCAGAUGGCGGUGCAGCCACACGUGGAGGACUCAGCUCCCAGAGCAAUAAAGGGACACCUACGCCAUGCAUGAGGCUGGGAGACUGUGCAGGGGGAAGAAGUCACUCGCCAGGAGCCCAGGUGUGUGGAAUUCUGGAACAGACUAGAUCUACCCUGGACUAACCUGGACUGGAACUAACAGACUAGAACUAACUAGAACGAAUUCUAGAACUAACCUACGGUGGAAAACAUCAGAAUGGCAGUGGCUUCUGGGGGCCAGAGGUAGGAAGGCACUGGGCAGGGGUAUGCAGCAACAUUUUGGGGGCAUUGUCUUUUUUAUUUUUCAGAGGAAGGGUCUUGCUCUGUUGCCCAGGCUGGAGUGCAGUGGCUCAAUCAUGGCUCACUGCAGUCUUGACCUCCUGGGUUCAAGCCAUCCUCCCACCUCAGCCUCCUGAAUAGCUGGGACCACAGGCAUGUGCUGCUACACCUGGCUCAUUUUUUUAUUUUUGUAGAGAUGGGGCCUCCCUGCAUUGCCCAGGCUGGUCUUCAACUCCUGGGCUCCAGUGAUCCUCCCACCUCUGCCUCCCAAAGUGUUGGAAUUAUAGGCGUGAGCCACCGCACCCGGCCUGAUGUCUGUCUCUUGAUAAGGGUUUGGGCUGCAGAAGUGGUCCGUUAGUCAGAGCAUUCAGUGGCUCCUUCAGAGUUAUACAUUUCAUGGUAUGUGAAUUUUACUCAAAGCAAUAAAAAAUCUGAAACGAAUAUUGAACUCUAGAUCAUGACAUGCAGUCGGCCGGUUAAGGGGGAGAGAGUACUGGUGCCUGCAACUUGGAAAGAGAUUGAUUAUGGGUGGGCAGAGGGACAGAGAAACAAGAUGAAGCGGGUCUAGCGAAACGUCAGUUGUGGAAUAACAGGUGAUAGCAUCUGGGUGCUCACUGUGAAAUCAUCUCAACUUUUCCAGAUGUUUGAAACAUUUCAAAGUUCAAUAUGAAAAGCAAUGAAAAAGAAUCUGGGCUUUGCAGACAAACUGCUGGGAGGUGGCCACGGCCCAGUAUCUGUGUGGUCCUGGGUGGGUUUCUCAGCCUCACGGUGCCUCAGGGUCCUGACUGUUAAGUGUGGGUGGUAAUAGCACCGCUGCCCACGGCGUGGGUGAAUUAACACAGGCAGGGCACUUAGACAGUGCCUGGCACACAGCAGGUGCUUAAUAAAUGUGCCCUUUGUUGAUGUUAUUCCUCAGCCCUGAAAGUAUCAGCCACGUGUCCUCCAGCUACUCAGAGAUGCUGAGGAACAGCUGGGAUUUGCACUGGGUUCACGUGCAGGGGACCCCAAAGAGCCAAAACAAGCUUGAAAAGGAAAGAACAAAGUGGGAAGACUCAGCUGGGUGCAGUGGCUCAUGCUUGUAAUCUCAGCAUUUUGGGAAGCCAAGGCAGGAGGAUCACUUAAGUCCAGGAGUUCAAGACCAACCUGGGCAACAUAGCAAGACUCCAUCUCUACAAAAAAAAAUUUUAAAUUAGCUGGAUGUGGUGGCAUAUGCCUGUAGUCCCAGCUACUCAGGAGACUAGGGUGGGAGGAUCGCUUGAGCCUAGGAGUUCAAGGCUGCAGUGAGCUAUGAUUGCACCACUGCAUUCUAGCCUGGGCAACAGAGCAAGACUCUGUUUCUAGAAAAAAAAAAAAGUGGGAAGACUCACACUUCCUAUUGUGAAAACUUCCUACGGUAAUGAGGACAGUGUGGUACUGUGGUAAGGACAGAUAUGAACAGCAAUGGGCUAGAACUGAGAGUCCAGAAAUAAACCCUUGUAUUUUUACUCUAUUUAUUUCCAAUAAGGGAGCCAAGACAAUUUGAUGGGGCUAGGGGAAGAGGAGACCUUUGACACAUAGUGCUGGGUCAAGUAGUCACAUGCAAGAGAAUGAAGAUGGACCCUUACCUCACACCAUAUACAAACAUCAACUCAAGAUGCAUCCAAGGCUAGGUGUGGUGGCUCACACCUGUAAUCCCAGCACUUUGGGAGGCCAAGGCAGGUGGAUUACCUGAGGUCAGGAGUUCAAGACCAGCCUGGCCAACAUGGUGAAACCCUGCCUCUACUAAAAACACACACACACACAAAAUUAGCUGGGC
rnacentral:lncRNA from 10 species